rnacentral:lncRNA from 1 species
GUCUGGGUCCAGAACAGGCAAGGAUGGGACAUCGGUUUCGCCCUCUGUGCUCUCUGCGUCCUGCUCGGGAUGCUCAUCUGGAUUGCCGGGUUCCCAUUCUACCGCAAUCAGCUCCCUGGUGGAAGUGCCAUCACCAGAAUGCUUCAGGUAUGUAUGCUUGUUUAUCAAGCCAGACUAGAAAUUUUGCGAAGAAUUGAGUAAGUUGUUUUCAACAGGUUCUCGUGGUGGCAUUCAAGAAAAGGAAUGUUGAGUUACCCAAGGACACAAGUGAACUGAAACAGAUGAACCAAGAUGACAGCAAUAAUGGGCUUGAAAAGCUGGAAAGAACAGUGGGCUUUCAGUAAGUAGAAAAAUCUAAGAAUUCUACAGCCCCACUAAAAUUGGAGUACCUUAAUUUCUGCUCUGUGAAUUUCCUUUCAGGUGCCUUGAGAAAUCUGCCAUAGACACUGGAGAGACGGGGCCAUGGUCGCUGUGCACGGUGACCCAGGUGGAGGAGACCA